UUUCCGUAGGUGAACCUGCGGAAGGAUCAUUAUCGUACACAACGUGAGGGUCGUGCGACGGCUGUCGCUGACCCAAAAGUAGUGCACUCCCGGGUGUGUCCUCUUACAUACUAAUCCAUCUCACCCCUUAUGCAUCACCGAGUGGGCACCCUUCGGGAUCAUUUCGGAGGGGGGCUCGCGUUUUCACACAAACCACCCUUCUAAAAGUGUAGAAUGACCACAUUUAUGCAAUCAAUACAACUUUCAACAACGGAUCUCUUGGCUCUC
rnacentral:misc_RNA from 1 species